rnacentral:lncRNA from 1 species
CACUUUGAUUACAGUUUUAUUUUAUUGUAGUACUAUUCUGUUAUUAUUUUAUGUUUUUUAUGUUAUCUAUUGUCUUUUGUACUUUCAUUACGUCAUUUUUAGAUUUCUUUUGUCUUGAGUCGAGGAUUUAUCGAAAGCAACCUCUCUACUUCAACUCAGGGGUAAAGGUAAGAUCUGCAAACACUAUACCUGCCUCGAACCUUACUAUAUUGGAUUAAGCUCAAUAUAUUAUUAUUGAUGUUGUUUUGUUUUGUAAUGUUAAUAUAUCAAUGUGGUGUUUUUUUAUUGAGAGGACUUGGGGGUUAGUUUGGGAUGGG